UGCAAAGUGAGUACCGAUGUGUGUUCUGUGCAGCGGGUCACAUGUUAAUAUGUCGUGGCUGGGAUUGCUCAACUUGCUGUGGUUCCUCUCCGUGGCAGUAAAUUAGAUUUUUCGCAAUUAGGAUAUUGCAGCAAAAUACCCAGAAACAAAACUACCUUCAACUCGAUGUGGAUGAAAUACAAAUUUAUUCAGGGGAAGAAAUGAAAGUAUCACUCCAGGGCCACAUCACAAUGUCUUUCCUCAGCAUCAUGUGAUGCCUCCCGUCUCACCAUGUGAUGCUUCGGCGCCCUCCUUUUUCACUGGGCUACUAUCUCACAGAGAUAACAUCAAGUCUUCAGUUAGAAAAAUGAUGAACACAUUCCCACGACUCUGGUGAGCUGAAUACGAGCAUUGUCACAGACUGUGGCCUGCAUCAAGUGUGACUUCAGACCACGCAUGGCUUUUCUUUUCAGGUCCCCACCACUUCCCAUAUUUGCUCAAGCUGCUCAGGAAACAUCGAUGGGUGCUGCUGUGGACUGCCAGCCAGAAGCUCCGAGAUACACAAACCACAGAGGGAACAGGAAGUGAUGGCCUGGUGAGGAUGAGUUGUGUGUG